CGCCACCCCGCGGAGGAGGCCCCAGUGCCACAGCCCAGGGCCCCCGAGAGCUCUGGGAGCCCGGGGCAAAUGCUAGAAAUUUGCUUAGAACGUCCGGGUCCCACGGAAGGCGCCCUUGCCGCCCUCUCUCGGGUCGUAGCUCCCUGACGCUGGGGCGCAACCCCUUCGCUCCUCCUCCCCGCUGGCCGCGGCCGGGCUUCCCCAGCUCUUGCUGCUUCGGGCCUGUGACUUCUGCAACCCCGGGCUGGGGGCCGCGGGGUCUCAGGGCCGGUGACGCCGCACUGGGAGCCGCCCCAAAGAGGUUACUCACCUCCCUCGUCCCGCACAUUAUUCUGACCCAAGAGCCUCCACCCCACACGGGAUUUUGCGCGUCGUCCACGCCCGGCCGGCGGCCUUUGCUGCUCCCAGCCCUGCGCGGCUUUGGUCCCAGCCUCGGUGGCCCCUGUGCCAAACCGGGGACAGGCGGAAGGGAGUCUCCUAGGGACCCUAAGUAGCCUGGGGCCAACAACCCCUUUCCUCUCUGCUCUCCCCUCAAAACAAGUUUCAGGAUCUUGCAGGCCUCGCGGCGUCGUUCUUCGUUGUGGCGGCCUGUGGCUCUUUGAAAAACACGACGAGGCCUGCAAAAUGCGUUUUUCUUUUUUUCCUUUACGCAUGUAACCACGGUCCUGCAUCGUGAAACGGUACGCGCGUCGGUGGCAAAAGAAAAACAGCAGUGGCUGCAAAGCUAAGGGCCCUCGCUUUCAGAGGAGAGAAUUUUCUUUCUCCAUGCGGGUGGAAAGUGGCCUCUGCGGGUCCAACCCCACUUCUUCUUGGGCCCGUGCGCUCCGGCUGCGCCGCAGGGACCGCGGACAGCUUCGCCAAGGCACUGCCUGCCCGCCCGGCUCCGGGUCCCCGCUCCCACUCCCAGCCGCGUGGCCCAACCUCUCCUGGGCUUCACUGCAAAUCACCCCUUCCUCUCCCGCCUCCUAAGUCUGUCGAGCAGACCUAGGGGCCGGCUACAGUUGGGAGGGCAACGGGAAAGAUCAAGCCACAAUCAUUCCGAAUUAUCGCCCCAGACACCUCCCUAGACUCUGGGGAACGAACGCGUGCUGAGCCUCCCCGCCGCUUUGGAGACGGGGCUAGAUUUUCGUUGCCUCCGGCUCUCGACAGGUGCAAAACAAUGAAUUCCAAGCCUCGGAAGCAAAGAAGCUUAGGAUCCGACGGUGGCCGCAAGAUCUCAUCAUGGAUCUGACCCCUGCUCAGCGCGCGCCAUUUCGUCGUUGCCAAACGAAAUCAAGCCCCGCGUGCGCUCCAGGGGCGAAGGACUCUGGACUCACCCCGACCACCGGGAGAGCUGGCCCCUACCCACCUCGGGACCUCACAGCACGCCCUCAGGCCGUGUCGAAAGGAAGGACGGCAAAGGUCCCUUACUGAACCUUUUAAGAGAGCCUGCGCCUGGCAGUUGUCGAUUGCGGACCCAGGCCCGCGCGCCCUCGGACGCGCUGGCACGAGCAGCAGAACUAGAGGAAAGCGAGUGAUCCAGCCUGGGCGCUCCCACCUCCGGGAACGUCUCCGAGAAGGCGCAGCGCGUCGUGGCCAGCUGAAAUUUAGCAUCAUAUUCCAUGGCGAUUUUCCACCAGUGGAAAUCACAGGUGUUCUCUGGUAUCACAGCGGGGUCAGGGAUGACCUGAAAUAUUGUUCAUGCUCAUCACAACUGCAUGGCCCACCGCGGGGUCUUGUCACUCAGUGAGUUCUUGAAGAGGCACAGACAAAUGGAGUUCAACAAAUGGAAAACAACUGCCUUUAAUUAGCUCCGAGGACUACAAAGGGAACAACGUUAUAAUAGCAGCAACUCCAAGGAAGCAGCCACAGCUCUCAGCUCUCAGACCUGGGGCUGCCGCUCAUCAUCAGCUACAGCUAGGUUUGAUGGGAGUGCCCCCAUUUCAGGGGACAGCAGGCCCCCUUCACUCCCCGACUCAGUCCCCAUCUGCAGCAGCACAGCCUUCCUUGGCCUCACCAGGGAAGAAGAACAGGCCCCGCUCUCAGACAAGCCUUCCCAGAAGCCUGAGGACUCAAACACCCAAAUGUGUCUGGGUCCCUGCCCCGAGCCGGCCACCCAGGCAGCAGCCCUGAAUCACUCGGUCAGCCAGCGGCAGGGCAGGCCAAUGGGCUGGAGGGUAGGCAGGCAGGCAGACCCACCUCUGCAUCUCUGCUGACUGCCUCGGCUGAGGAAAGGCAGCACCAGCCCCCAACCCUGAAGUUCUAGAUCUCAUGCAGCCUCUCUGUUCUGGAACCAUCCAGAGGCACUGCCCUUAUACAUGGUCCACCCCCAGGCUCAGACAAUGAGAAUUCCACAAGCAGAGGGGACUCUAUUUGGGGCACAGAGAGGUUAAGUAACUCCCCUCCUAAGGUCUCUCAGCAAGGAAGCCACUGAGCCGUGGGACUUGAGCUCAGGGACUCUUGAUCCCCAGUCUCAGGUGUCACAGCCCCAUCUGGGCUCCUGCUAGGGAGGAGGAAGGCAGCAGGGGGUGUCUGAGGCCAGGGUGCAUCAGCCCUAAAUGCCAGACAGAGGCAGGAGAAGUCUCCCCAUGAGUCCCAGCCCCAUUAGAGGCUCCAGGUCGGGGAUCCCAGACCCCCUAUCCUUGCUGGGAGACACAACCCAGAACUCUGCAUCCCUGCAGCCACCAAAAAAGGCAAAAGCUGCCCAGAAACACUUUCUCCUCUUCCGUGGCCAAAUCCACGAACUUUCUCGAGGUCUGUCCCCCUGCCCCGUGCAGGUCCAGCUUCAGUGCAGCCCAGCUCUGUGCAGUUUUCCACAAAAGCCUGUGGCUUCCUUCUCCUCCCUCUGCUUCUGAUACCCCAGGAGUUACACACAAAAUGUUGGCGGUGGUCUCCAGGAAGACCCCUGCAUCCCACAGCUCUCCCCAGAAGUUGCCAGCAGUGACCUCCUGAGCCCAGGUGGGGAGUCCCAGGCAGGACAGGGGCUGGGGCUGCAGGCCCUGGGGCCCUGUUAGUGAAGCAGCAAGCCGAGGGUCCCUGAGAGUUUCCCUUGGCCCCUCUGAGGGCUGCCCUUUGAGGUCUUGAGGUCUUGGAGUAUCCAUCGCCCCCACGGCUUACUGUCCCCACCAGCGGAGGAUGAAAGUGCCACAGCGAUGUUCCACGCCAAGAGACCACAGAGACCACCAACCCCUCUUCCCACCUCAGGCUUUCAGAGGCCAGCGGAUUUAGGCGGACAGGCUGUGCGCUUGAGGGCAGCCAGGGCGGUCAGUGGAGGGACGUGGUCCGGGGCCUGGCCACAGCUCCCCACCCAGGGCCCUGGGCUAUUGUUACUCACCGCGGAUGAAGGUCGGCGAGUAGGUCGGGAAGGAGUCGAAGAUGCUGUUCGAUGCCAUGCCCCGCUCUGAAGAAG
rnacentral:lncRNA from 10 species